rnacentral:rRNA from 1 species
GGACGAACGCUGGCGGCGUGCUUAACACAUGCAAGUCGAACGAUGAAGCCCCCUCGGGGGCGGAUUAGUGGCGAACGGGUGAGUAACACGUGGGCAAUCUGCCCUSCACUUCGGGACAAGCCCUGGAAACGGGGUCUAAUACCGGAUACCCGUUCCCGCCCGCAUGGGCGGRAACGGAAAGCUCCGGCGGUGSAGGAUGAGCCCGCGGCCUAUCAGCUGGUUGGUGAGGUAACGGCUCACCAAGGCGACGACGGGUAGCCGGCCUGAGAGGGCGACCGGCCACACUGGGACUGAGACACGGCCCAGACUCCUACGGGAGGCAGCAGUGGGGAAUAUUGCACAAUGGGCGCAAGCCUGAUGCAGCGACGCCGCGUGAGGGACGACGGCCUUCGGGUUGUAAACCUCUUUCAGCAGGGAAGAAGCGCAAGUGACGGUACCUGCAGAAGAAGCGCCGGCUAACUACGU